UGGGGAAUGGUGCAAUUGGUAGCACGCCUGACUCUGGAUCAGGAAGUUGGGGGUUCGAGUCCUCCUUCCCCAGCCA
rnacentral:tRNA from 1 species